UGCAGUAUAAUCUAGUGGACGGUUCUUCAGAAACAGCUCGUCAACCACCUUUGUAGCUUGCUAGCCAAUACAGCCGAAAGAUUCAAGCUAUUUAGAUGCUUUCGAUGUAUAUUAGCUACUGUCUUUUAGACAUACUUUUGUCGUAUCUACUUGUUAACCUAUUUAAUUUAAUAUUACGUUAUUUUGUAUUAGUCAGCUAUAGUAGCUGGCUGGUUAAGUUAGCUCUAGUGAUAGCUAGCUAACACCCCCGACAAUGAGCUCUCUAAACUACUCCCCUCCUGCUAAAAAAGAGGUGGUCUGCUGGACGGAGAAAGAAGCUCAGAGGCUGAACAUUGUUGUGAAAGAGGAGAAGGAAGAGGAGAUGUUACAGUAAAACAAGAAGUAGAGGGUGAGGCUGUUACUGUCAAAGAAGAAGAUAAAAACGUUUCAGUGAAAGAGGAGGAGGAUGUUACAGUAAAAGAAGAGGAGGAUGCAGUUUUUGGAGUGAAGAAGGAAGGGGAGAUUACUGUCACAUUGAAAGAUGAAGAGGUGGAGAUAGGAGAUCUGAUUAACACCCAUAUGUACCGCCUUAAAUUCGUUUUUUACUUUCGAUAUUCGGAGUUGGCUCGUCAAUACCUCUUCCAACGGAGGGCCCUGGGAUGAUGACUGAUAUGUCUAGAAUCAGACGACGUAGAGAGCAAGCUACCCCUUGUUUUCUCCGUUCCGUUUCCAAAAAGUGACUUAACAUGUAUAUUUGAGAAGCGUCUAUCUGCUGACCGCAGACUGGGGGGGCACGGCAUGUUGUGAUUUUCGUGUAGUGAUGUUUUACUACAUACCGUGCCCCCCAAUAGUGCCAUGUGAGAGUUGGGUUGACCACACCAAAGAUUAUGGAUAUACUGACAAGGUGUCUCUCCUCCCUAACAAGGGGAGUCAUUGUCCACAAAGCGGCACUGUGGGUUGUCUAGCUCCCGCCUAUCCUUUCUUUGGAUUGGUGGAUUCAUCUUAUUGUUGUAAUCUAUUGUUUAUAUUCUAUGAGGGUUGUUGACGUCCACCGCUUGUAUUCAAUGGAGAGAGAUGCUAAGCUACUAGCAUGAAUAUGCAUAGCGAUCUGGAGACAACUCCUAUAGUGUUUUUAUCAAAGUUGUCAGUGUGUCACAUAACAACUUAAGCAUUACGAAACUUCUGUUGGGUCAAGUAAUCCUCACCAGCAAAUAAGCCAUUAAUUUUGUUGUUGAUCAAAUUCGACACUUUCUACACUGGGUUGAUAAUUGUUUCCACUUGGAUACAACCUACUGUAUCCUACUGGCAUGACCUAAAGAGAUACAACCUACUGUAACCUACUGGCAUGACCUAGAGAGAUACAACCUACCGUAGCCUACUGGCUUAACCUAGAGAGAUCAUUUAAAAUCCAGGAAUUUUAAAACGUUAAUAUUUCCCAGUAAUAAUGAUUUUUUUGUAUCUUCCUAUCCACAUGUGGGAUCUCUCUCCUUUGUCGUCCACUCUACACCAAUAACAGACAACUACUGUGGGACUCCCAAUCAUACAGCCUGGAUUCGAACCAGGGACUAGUGACGCCUCUUGCACUGAGAUGCAGUGACUUAGACCGCUGCAUCCGGGAGAGAAACCAGACUCUCCCUCUGACAACGGAAAGAGUCCUUCAGGGGAAUCAGACCCAGAGAUGCCCAAAGCAAAAGGAGGACAUCACUGCUCCCACUGUGGAAAGAGUUUUACCCAGUUAGGGAACCUGAAUAGGCAUGAGAGGACACACACAAGAGAAAAACCUUUCCAAUGCUCCCAGUGUGGAAAGAGUUUUAACAAAUUUGGUUACCUAUUAAUACAUAAGAGAAUACACUCUGGAGAGAAGCCUUACCACUGCUCCAAAUGUGUAAUGACUUUUGCCUGGUUAGGGAGCCUGAAUACACACGGGAGAAAAUCCUUUAUUAUGUUCCCACUGUGGAAAGAAUUUUACCCAGUUAGGGAACCUAAAUCGGCACAAGAGGACACACACAGGAGAGAAGCCUUAUCACUGUUCCCAGUGUGGAAAGAGUUUUAGGGGUUUAGUGAGCCUGAAACAGCAUGAGAGGACACACACGGGAAAUAAGCCUUACCAAUGCUCCAUACGUGGAAAGAGUUUUACCAAGUUAGAGGGCCUGACUAGGCAUGAGAGGACACACACAGGAGGGGAUAAGCCCUACCACUGCUCCCUGUGUGGAAAGAGAUUUAACCGGUUAAGGCAUCUAAAUAAGCAUGAAAGAAUAUACACACAGGAGGAGAAGACAUACCGCUGCUCUCAAUGUGGAAAGAUAUUUUCCCAGUCAGAGGAACUGAAAUCACAUGAGAGAAAAGAGAGACUGUGUUCUGA